GAUGAACGCUGGCGGCGUGCCUAAUACAUGCAAGUCGAACGCGAGCACUUGUGCUCGAGUGGCGAACGGGUGAGUAAUACAUAAGUAACCUGCCCUAGACAGGGGGAUAACUAUUGGAAACGAUAGCUAAGACCGCAUAGGUACGGACACUGCAUGGUGACCGUAUUAAAAGUGCCUCAAAGCACUGGUAGAGGAUGGACUUAUGGCGCAUUAGCUGGUUGGCGGGGUAACGGCCCACCAAGGCGACGAUGCAUAGCCGACCUGAGAGGGUGAUCGGCCACACUGGGACUGAGACACGGCCCAG
rnacentral:rRNA from 1 species